rnacentral:rRNA from 1 species
CCCUAUGGGGUGCAGCCAGGAGGAGACAGCCGAGAGCUCGAUAAACGGUAAAAGAAUGCGCCGGAGCGAAAAUCUUUUCCCGGCGUGCCAAUUCCAGGCACUUGCCUGGGUGGGAAUGAACCAUGUGAGGGACUGCCAAAAGCGUGGAGGCAAAGGCUUCCAACAAUUGGCGGGGCGUGACGAUCCGGUUGCGGUCGUAGUCUCGUUCAAACAAUCUUUCGCCGCGGCGGCGCUGGAGCCAGAGCCGCUCCGGAUGAGAAGACUCGAAGCUGAGGAAGUGCUCCUGCAGCCGCCGGAGAAACGGGAGGCGGGGGGGC